CAGCCGCCGCGGUAAUACGAGGGGUGCAAGCGUUAUUCGGAUUGAUUGGGUGUAAAGGGUGUGCAGACGGCUUAUUAAGUCACUUGUUAAAUUCUUCGGCCUAACUGAAGGUCUGCAAGUGAUACUGAUGAGCUAGAGGGUGGAAGAGAGAAGUGGAAUUCUCGGAGUAGCGGUAAAAUGCGUAGAUCUCGAGAGGAACACCAAUGGUGAAGGCAGCUUCUUGGUCCAUUCCUGACGUUCAUACACGAAAGCGUGGGGAGCAAACAGGAUUAGAUACCCCCGUAGUCCCUGUCUCUUAUAA
rnacentral:rRNA from 1 species